rnacentral:rRNA from 1 species
UACAGAGGAUGCAAGCGUUAUCCGGAAUUAUUGGGCGUAAAAGCGCUCGUAGGCGGGAUUGGAAGUCCGUGUUGAAACGACCUCGGCUCAACUGAGGGACCGGCUCGGAUACUCUAAUUCUUGAGGCAAUCAGAGGAUGAUGGAAUUCCCGGUGUAGCGGUGAAAUGCGUAGAUAUCGGAAGGAACACCUGUGGCGAAAGCGGCUCACUGGACCAUUACUGACGCUGAGGCACGGAAAGCUAAGGGAGCAAACAGG